AGCGCAGACAGCAAUAAAACGUUCUGCUCAGCUGAAGUGGUCUUUAGUUUCUACAAACAGAUCACAGAGAGAUUUGUUUCUGCACGAUACAACGAUUUUCAAAAAUGAGGAGGAAUCACAAAGAGACACCUCAGCAUCAAGCUAUGCUGGGAUUAAGGAGUAGUAAAAUGGACAGAGCAAGAGAAGGAGUGGCGAUGACGUUCGCUCCAGAAUUGAGUAACAGGCCUACAAAUCAAGAUUUCUGCCAGGAAACUGCACGACCUGAGGAAGUUCUGGCACAUGGGAAAAAUAGUAUGCACUCUAUGGCAAAGCAGAACAUCCACGUAGUUAGCAUUAACAAAUCCAGAAAUAAAUUAGUCGACCCCGUAAAGAUUUUAGAAGGUAAACGAGCAGGUGCUGGACCUGCAGCAAAGAGCCCUGGGAAACCAAAACUUCUUCCCAGAAUGCCCAGAAUGGAUCCAAUUGUUCAUCCCCCAUUUAGAGCACUGAUGCGCAAGGAAACGUUAAGCGAAACAUAUGGCAAUCCUCAGGCACAUGGGGAAAAUAGCAUGUGCACUACGGCAAAGAAGAAUAUCCGCUUACGUGUCGCUAACACAACCAGAAAGAAAUCAGUCAAACCCAGAAAGACCAUAGAAGUAUUUGGACAAGCAGGUGCUGGACCUGCAGCAAAGAGCCCUGGGAAACCAAAACUUCUUCCUAGAAAGCCCAGAAUGGAUCCGAUUGGUCAUCCCUCAUUUAGAGCACUGAUGCGCAGGGAAAAGUUAAGCAAAACAUCCAGCAAUCCUCAGGUACUUACAGGUACUACAGAGGUAAAGAGUAAGUAUCUUGAGCCUACAAUUAAGGUAGAACCUCAAUUAAGAACUAACAUUACUGAUGCUGUCCUGGAUUGCAUAACCUCUGGAUCGUUCAAGAAUCAGCUCACUCUGCGCAUUGUGGGUGAAAUUGAUGAUAUACUAGCAAAAGCUGUGUCCCAGGUUCACAAGCAACAGCAUCCCGUGAGAUUCAGUGCAGCAGGGGAUAAGAUAAACAACAUCUCCCGGGAACAACAAUCAAGCAACAAUGUUUUCAUGCCUGGCUUCAGUGAUGGUGUGGCAUCUAUGAUUGGUUGUGCACUGAUAGAACUUAGAGAAGAUGUGAAAAAAACUUUUACAAGCCAGUCACACGAAUUUCAGACAGCCUCACCAACGGCAUGCGAUUCUACAACAGAAAUAGUGGAGAGUCUCUUUGAAAGUAUGCUUGAUUCCUUGAUUCCUCAACUGAAACCAGAUGUUAGCACUGAAAAGGAUCCUAGCACGAUUGAUUCUCUUUAUAGCUAUGAGUUUGAUACAGUGUCUGAUAGUAUCCUUCCCAGCACUGACUCAGAUGUCAACCAGAGUCCAGUCCAUGAGCCAAGAGGAGGUGCUGAUGACGAGUCUAGCAUCACAGCUCAGGACAUUGAGACAUUAGACAUUGUGAAAGAGAGAGCUGACUCCCCAAGAAGAUCUACCAAAGUCCCAUUCUCCACAGUAUUUGACCAGUCUUCUGGACCUGAAGUUAAGGCCAAAGAUGAGGUUGAGGGCAUCUUGGCUGCUUCUGGAAGCAUGAGCCCCCUUGAUGACCCUCUGACUUCAAGAGUCAAAUCUGACUCCUAUUUGGAUGCAAGCGUUCUUGAGGUCACUGCUACUUCUUCAACAGAAAAUGUUGACCACAUGUCAAGAUCUGAUGAAGUUGCAGAAGAAGGACUUUUGGCUAAAUCAGAUGUUGAGCUUGAGCAAAUCAUGGCUGCUCCUUCUGAGGAAAACACUCCUUCUGACAUUACAUCCCAAAGCCUUCACCAGGAAUGUACUAGCCCUGUCCCUUCACCACCUUCUAGUGAUAAGCCAACCUCCCCAAGAGGAUCUGCCAGGAGAAGGGCAUGUCCUGUAAAAGUCAGCUCUUUGCCAAACAUAUUCUCUGACAGAGGAGAUGGCAUCUUUGACCAGUCUCACCAAAAGUUAGAGAGUGUUGACAAGCGUAGACUUUCUCUGACUGGCAUGGAAAUGGGUUCUUCUGAAAACAGAAGCGGCCUUGAUGGGCCUCUGAGUUCAUCUGAAGCAUCUGAUGUUGAAGAAGCUGCAGCAAAAUCAGCUGGUUACAAAGCAGUACUCUGUUGAAAUUAUUCUGAUGUAUUAAAUUAGUGCAAAUAAAUGAACCAUCCAUUCAUUAUCUUUUUACACUGUUCUUUCUUGUUUCCAAAUUGUAGCCUCCCCAAGAAGAUUGUUGUGGGAAAUAAUCUUUCCAGCUUAACAAAAAACUUCAGAGACAGAGGGUUUGUAGCUGUCAAAAAGUAAUUAAACCAGUG
ensembl:lncRNA